rnacentral:rRNA from 1 species
UACGGAGGGUGCAAGCGUUAUCCGGAUUCACUGGGUUUAAAGGGUGCGUAGGUGGGCAGUUAAGUCAGUGGUGAAAUCUCCGAGCUUAACUCGGAAACUGCCAUUGAUACUAUCUGUCUUGAAUAUCGUGGAGGUAAGCGGAAUAUGUCAUGUAGCGGUGAAAUGCUUAGAUAUGACAUAGAACACCGAUAGCGAAGGCAGCUUGCUACACGAUUAUUGACACUGAGGCACGAAAGCGUGGGGGAGCAAACAGG